CCGCUCCAGGCUCCUCUCGCCGCUGGCCGUGCCCCGCCUGCGAGAUUCCCGCCAGCGCUUGCGGACCCGAAGGAAGACCUGCCAGGCCCGCAGCCCCCGCGCCCACCCGCAUCACCACCGCCAGCAGCCUGAGUGUGGCGGGUCCAUCAAUUCUCAUCCCGGAUCCCACCCACAACUUUCCCAAUCUUUUCGUCCUAAGUCAAAAGUUGUGUCUAUAACCAGCGCAGGAAUACAAAGAACCAAGUGGCAACAAGAGCUAAAAACAUAAAGAAAGAAAGGACCCCUGUGUUGAAUCCUAGUAAAUGUAAUGGAAACAAGCCCAGAGGCGGAAGAUGGCUUCUCUUCUCACCAUGGCACAGUCAUCGGCAGAGCCGGGAUUAGGGCUGGCUCUCAGAACUCUGUCUAGUGAUCAGAUGGUCAUCAGUCACCAACCACAACUGUCAGCAUCACACACACUGGACUUUACUGCUGCCCAAACAGCUGCACCAGCUACUGUUCUUGGUGUGGUAAAGCCCUCCAUGUAGCCGGCUCAGACUCUGCCACAGACACCUGUGUUCCCUCGCCUCCUUUUCAGAUGGCCGUUGAUAGGAUCAGAGAGCAUCAGCCCCACCUUUAAGUCUCAGCUUCCACUCCAGGGAACAGAUUCAACCUUUGAUGUCAGAAGCAAUGGCUUUGGAAAGAGAAGUGGGUACUAAGGAAGCAGGCAAAACCCUGGCAUUGCAGAGGCCUCUCAACCCCAAAGGAAAGUUGUCCCUCAUCUGUCAUCUAGAAACAACAGGAGCAAGCCCUGAAUCCCAAAGCCCCUUCACUCCAGCAGGGGCCUGGCCAGGGGCCACCGGGACCAGAAGAUGUGGUUUAGACAGUGCAUCGCUAAGGUCCCUUCCCAAUCUACAACCUGGGGCUAGCCCAGGAGCAGAUCCUGGAGCCAGGCAUGUGUCUUGGACAUGGGAGCCCCUUUCCAUUGGCAAACAGAUGGAUGUUGGUAACUGUCCUUUGGCCAAGACACCUGCAGACUUUGGCCCCAGGCCUGUUUUUCCGUAUAACGUCUAGCUGGAUACUUUGCAGACGGGGUGGGACUGGGUCUUACUGACUUGCCCCAGCCCAGUGUGCAGAGAGGCCAAGCUCUAUUUUUGUCAACCUGUGUACAUGUGAACAAUGGGUUUUCUUACUCAUGCAAACCCAACAGGAGGGGAAAAUGGUGAGAAAACCCGCGUUUCCUCUGACUCAUUUGACCAUCUAGGAGGAGGAGAUGGCAGGGGAGGAGGAAGUCAGACCAGGUUGUCUUUGACUUGGAUUGGGUGAGGGCAAGGAGGAAAAACUUCCCCUUCUUUCACCAUUGGUAACAUCAGGUGGCUGCAAACUCAAGAGCGCAAAUAACUCUCCUUUCCUAUAGAUGCCUCCUCUACACUCCUUGCCUCCUCCUGGCCCAGGUACCUGUGGCUCUGGCUUUUACAAGUUGGUGGUAAAGCAGUAGUUCCCAAAAUGCACACUCAACUCACUUGGAGAACGUACAAAAGGUCAAAGCCUAGGUCACAAUUGAAUCCAAAUACCUAGGGUGGGAGCCAGGUGUAGGCAGUGUUUAAAGAUCCCAGGUAUUUCUGAGAUAAGCAAGUUUAGAAACUCCUUUGCGAAAGGCGGGGCUGACCACGGUGGGAGCCAGGGCCGCCACAGGUGAAGGCAUCACUUGUUCAUCCAUCCACCCACCCAUCCAUCCACCCAUCCAUCCACAAAUAUUCAGUGAUGAUCUCUCUGUGCCAGACUCUGUUCCAGGUCUUGGAGAUACAGCUAUGAAUAAGAAAGCCUCAGUUCUCCUGGAGCUCACAUUCCCCUGGGGCAGUCAGACAACAAAUAAAUGAAUCAACGAUACAUAUGGCCCGGGCUAUGAAGAAAGCCAAAGCAGGGUCCUCCCUCCUGUUCCUCGAGGCGCCUUCUGCCCAGCUCUUUCCCUGAAGCAAUGUCUUCAGGGCAGCACCUGGCAUCCUCUGCACCCAGUGCUCCUGACUCCAACUUGUGUGAGCAACAACACCUGACUCAGGGCCCGCCCAAGGCAAGGGAUCCACCAGGUAUUGUUUAUGAGCAGCCGACAAGAUGGAUAUUAGGCUUGUGGGGUGUCUGAGAGGUCCAUGGAACUGGAGGGAACACUAAACUAAGUUUUAGAAGACUUCCAGAAGACCUAGAGUUAAGGCCUGGCUCUGCCACUUUCUGGCAAAGGGGACGUCAAUUCACCUUGCCAAGUCUCCGUUUCCUCUUCAGUCGAAUGGGGAGAGUGUGACCAACUUUGUAAG